GUAGGACCCGAGCGUUGUCCGGAUUCACUGGGUAUAAAGGGUGCGUAGGCGGCCUUGUGCGUCAGAGGUGAAAUAUCCGGGCUUAACCCGGAGGGUGCCUUUGAUACGGCAGGGCUUGAGUGCGGGAGAGGAUGAUGGAAUUCCUGGUGUAGCGGUGAAAUGCGUAGAUAUCAGGAGGAACACCGGUGGCGAAGGCGGUCAUCUGGUCCGCUACUGACGCUGAGGCACGAAAGCGCGGGGAUCAAACAGGAUUAGAUACCCUGGUAGUCCGCGCCCUAAACGAUGCAUGCUUGGUGUUGGCCUUUUCGGAGGUCAGUGCCGGAGGGAAUCCGGUAAGCAUGCCACCUGGGGAGUACGAUCGCAAGGUUGAA
rnacentral:rRNA from 1 species